rnacentral:sRNA from 12 species
AAUAGGUUUGCGCGGGACAAUGCUUAGGUUGCUCUUAGAGCGGCAGCCCCAAGUGGGUGGGUUCCUAAGCCCCGGAGCCUUUAUUUGU